rnacentral:rRNA from 1 species
CGUACACUCCUGCGGGAGGCAGCAGUAGGGAAUCUUCCACAAUGGGUGCAAACCUGAUGGAGCAAUGCCGCGUGAGUGAAGAUGGUCUUCGGAUCGUAAAGCUCUGUUGUUAGAGAAGAACACGUGCUAGGUAACUACUAGCGCCUUGACGGUAUCUAACCAGAAAGUCACGGCUAACUACGUGCCAGCAGCCGCGGUAAUACGUAGGUGACAAGCGUUGUCCGGAUUUAUUGGGCGUAAAGGGAGCGCAGGCGGUCUGUUUAGUCUAAUGUGAAAGCCCACGGCUUAACCGUGGAACGGCAUUGGAAACUGACAGACUUGAAUGUAGAAGAGGAAAAUGGAAUUCCAAGUGUAGCGGUGGAAUGCGUAGAUAUUUGGAGGAACACCAGUGGCGAAGGCGAUUUUCUGGUCUAACAUUGACGCUGAGGCUCGAAAGCGUGGGGAGCGAACAGGAUUAGAUACCCGGGUAGUCCCA